UACGGAGGGUGCGAGCGUUAAUNGGAAUUACUGGGCGUAAAGCGCACGCAGGCGGUUUGUUAAGCUAGAUGUGAAAGCCCCGGGCUCAACCUGGGAUGGUCAUUUAGAACUGGCAGANUAGAGUCUUNGANAGGGGAGNGNAAUUCCAGGUGUAGCGGUGAAAUGCGUAGAUAUCUGGAGGAACAUCAGUGGCGAAGGCGACUCCCUGGCCAAAGACUGNCGCUCAUGUNCNAAAGUGUGGGUAGCGAACAGG
rnacentral:rRNA from 1 species